AUGAGCUUUAGAAGAUCAAAGACACUGGUGUGCUGGUUUGGCAUUAGUCCAGGACUGGAGUUCUGCCAGGCUUUCAUGAUACAGAGAACAAACUGCAUUUGCACUGGAUUUAAUCCUGUGAUCCACGUGACUCAAAAAUGCUCCUCACCCUGCCUUCAUCCUGUUGGGGGGUUCAGCACUACCACCAAGGAUGUGCCAAUGAGGAUACUGUUGGCUGUCCUGCCAGAAACCACAUUAGUUCCUGCUAAAAUAGCUUUAUGUUUUAUGUUCCAGGUGGCCAACCCACCAGAGGAAAUAAUUCUGUUUAACGAAGGUGGAGAGGCUUUGUGCUUGUGUAAUCUCAGAUACAGAGAAAGAAAUGUGUGUUCAAUGUUAUCUACACAUGAAAAAGGGGGAAUAGAGGAGGAAAGUAAAAUGGAAGAGGGGGGGUGUAGAGAAAAGAUUAACUUGCAGUCAUAAUCUGAGAAAGGGCUUGCUUGCCAAAUGUGUGUCUGAAAACACUUGGAUGGUGGCCCAGGCCCCCAAGUUCUUGACAACAGCUGGAGUGUUCCCAUACCUGUAUCAGUAGCUGAUUAAAGGAGAAGAGAACCUGUUUUGCAGCCUAAAACAAGGUUAUUCAAAACCUCUAAACUAAUUCUACUUAUUCUUAAAUUCUGUCAUUACACAUUGGGAGUCAG
rnacentral:lncRNA from 12 species